AGGUUCCGUAAGGAUUCAUAGGGAAGUCGGUGCAAAUCCGACACGGUCCCGCCGCUGUAUCAAGGAGUGCAGCUGCAUAUAGUCACUGGGCAUCCCCCGGGAAGACGCACGAUGAUUUGGAGUCAGAAGACCUGCCUGUUCA
rnacentral:ncRNA from 1 species